GACGUAGGGCGCGAGCGUUGUCCGGAUUUAUUGGGCGUAAAGAGCUCGUAGGCGGCUUGUCGCGUCGACUGUGAAAACCCGCGGCUCAACCGCGGGCCUGCAGCCGAUACGGGCAGGCUAGAGUUCGGUAGGGGAGCAGGGAAUUCCUAGUGUAGCGGUGAAAUGCGCAGGAUAAUUAGGAGGAACACCGGUGGCGAAGGCGCUGCUCUGGGCCGAAACUGACGCUGGGGAGCGAAAGCGUGGGUAGCAAACAGG
rnacentral:rRNA from 1 species